rnacentral:rRNA from 1 species
UACGUAGGGUGCGAGCGUUGCCCGGAUUUAUUGGGCGUAAAGGGCGCGUAGGCGGCUCUGCACGUCCGUUGUGAAAUCGCCCGGCUCAACUGGGCGGGGUCAGCGGAUACGGCGGAGCUUGAGCAAGCUAGGGGGCAAUGGAAUUCCCGGUGUAGUGGUGGAAUGCGUGGAUAUCGGGAGGAACACCAGUGGCGAAGGCGGUUGCCUGGGGCUUUGCUGACGCUGAUGCGCGAAAGCGUGGGGAGCGAUCCGG